AGGCUCCUCCUUUACAGAAAGCAAACAUCUGUAUUCCUCGCAUUGCAAAAGUCUUUGCCACAGUGACGCUUCUGAUCACUGAAACUUCUUGGAAGAAAAGUUUAAAAGUUUAAUUAAAAAUUAAAUAUAUUGUAUUAGGUAUAUAUUUUAAAAGGGCAAAGUAAAAAAUAUUAAUACAAUCUGGUUGUAGAAAAUACACUGCAAGAAAAGGAACAGGUGCUUCAAAAAUGUAACCCUGGCAACUCUGCCAACAGGUCCUGGGCUCGGGCUUCCUGGAAAAGCCCCGGGACACGUGGGAACUCCAGGCACCCUCGCAGGGGCCCCCCGAGGGCAGGUGGCCCAGAAGCCCAGGAAGGGUGGCCUGGGAGGUGGAACGGGCGCAAGGCCGAUCAUCACUGGCUCCUAGGGGGCUGUGACAUGGAACCAAACAUACACGCGUAUGAGAGAGCAGAGCGGCAGCGACGCGGUCGGAUCGGUCGCGGGGGCUGCGGGAGGAAGCGCUGCAGGGACCCGGGCGGCGCCGGCGGCCUAGCCGGAGAUGCACGCGCUGUAAUAGACCGCGCUGCUGGCGUCCGACAGCGCGGAGAUCAGGCUGCUCUCCUCUGGGCAGGACAUGGCGCGCGGGCCCAGUUUGGCUAGUGCCACGUGGUACGGGAGCCCGGGGGCGUCGGGCCGAGUCCGGCUGCAGUUGAGGCAUGUGAUGUGAAUCAGCUUACAUCAUCUUG
rnacentral:lncRNA from 1 species